GGCUAGGUCUUGGAGGCUGGUGUAAGGCGAUGUGGGUGAAGGCAGGAGGCUGAUGGAAAGACUGGGGGGAAGAAAAGCCGAAAUGGAUUCACGGUGCCUUGGAUGAAGGACGAGAGGGGAACUGCAAGCUCCUUCAACUGGUUCUGUCCGGUGAGAAGUGAUCAAGCUUGGGCUGACAAGAGGCUCAGGGAGCCCUCACGUUCUUUCGCUUUUUUACCUGCCAAUCAAACUGCUACAAGACAACACCCUGAUCUGGCAUGGACAUACUAAAGCUCUGUACUCGACCCCGCGAGCGGCUCUCGCCUUCCGGGGCUGGAACCCGACUCAGAUGUGAAGCGGCACUGAGCCGCUGCGCAGGUUCGUGCCCAGCGCCCCCUGUUGGACACAGUAGGAGCUGCGCAGCGCCAGUCCCAGAAAUCGCUGGAAUCCUGCUCUGGGGUUAGAGAAAACUCUUUUAUUGCCCUCCAAAAAAGAAACGGGAUGCGAAAACAAAUU
rnacentral:lncRNA from 1 species